rnacentral:rRNA from 1 species
GUGUCAGCCGCCGCGGUAUACGGAGGGGGCUAGCGUUGUUCGGAAUCACUGGGCGUAAAGCGCGCGUAGGCGGCUUGCCAAGUUGGGGGUGAAAUCCCGGAGCUCAACUCCGGAACUGCCUUCAAAACUGACAAGCUAGAGUCCGGAAGAGGUGAGUGGAAUUCCCAGUGUAGAGGUGAAAUUCGUAGAUAUUGGGAAGAACACCAGUGGCGAAGGCGGCUCACUGGUCCGGUACUGACGCUGAGGUGCGAAAGCGUGGGGAGCAAACAGGAUUAGAUACUCUGGUAGUCCACGCCGUAAACGAUGAGAGCUAGUUGUCGGGCAGCAUGCUGUUCGGUGACGCAGCUAACGCAUUAAGCUCUCCGCCUGGGGAGUACGGUCGCAAGAUUAAAACUUAAAGGAAUUGGCGGGG